AGAGCGAACGCUGGCGGCAGGCUUAACACAUGCAAGUCGAGCGGGCGUAGCAAUACGUCAGCGGCAGACGGGUGAGUAACGCGUGGGAACGUACCUUUUGGUUCGGAACAACCCAGGGAAACUUGGGCUAAUACCGGAUAAGCCCUUACGGGGAAAGAUUUAUCGCCGAAAGAUCGGCCCGCGUCUGAUUAGCUAGUUGGUGGGGUAAUGGCCCACCAAGGCGACGAUCAGUAGCUGGUCUGAGAGGAUGAUCAGCCACAUUGGGACUGAGACACGGCCCAAACUCCUACGGGAGGCAGCAGUGGGGAAUAUUGGACAAUGGGCGCAAGCCUGAUCCAGCCAUGCCGCGUGAGUGAUGAAGGCCCUAGGGUUGUAAAGGCUACUUUUGUCAGGGAAGAACGGUGAGGGCUAAUAUCCUUUGCUAAUGACGGUACCUGAAGAAUAAGCACCGGCUAACUACGCGCCAGCAGCCGCGGUAA
rnacentral:rRNA from 1 species